rnacentral:rRNA from 3 species
UAUCUUCGGAUAAUAGUAAAGUGGCGAACGGGUGAGUAACGCGUAAAUAACUUGCCUUGGAGAUUGGGACAACAUUGGGAAACCAGUGCUAAUACCAAAUAAUGCAGCGGGCCCUUCGGGGCAUAGUUGUUAAAGUAGGCUUCGGCUUACACUUCAAGAUAGAUUUGCGUCCGAUUAGUUAGUUGGUAGGGUAAUAGCCUACCAAGACCGAGAUCGGUAGCUGGUCUGAGAGGAUGAUCAGCCACACUGGAAUUGAGAUACGGUCCAGACUCCUACGGGAGGCAGCAGUGAGGAAUUUUGCACAAUGGGCGAAAGCCUGAUGCAGCAACACCGCGUGAUUGAUGAAGUUUUUAGGAAUGUAAAAAUCUGUCGUAAGGGAAGAAAUGUUUCGGAUGUUAAUACCAUCUGUUACUGACGGUACCUUACAAGAAAGGACCGGCUAACUUCGUGCCAGCAGCCGCGGUAAUACGAGGGGUCCUAGCGUUGUCCGGAUUUACUGGGCGUAAAGGGUACGUAGGCGUUUUAAUAAGUUGUAUGUUAAAUAUCUUAGCUUAACUAAGAAAGUGCAUACAAAACUGUUAAGAUAGAGUUUGAGAGAGGAACGCAGAAUUCAUGGUGGAGCGGUGACAUGCGUAGAUAUCAUGAGGAAAGUCAAAUGCGAAGGCAGCCUUCUGGCUCAAAACUGACGCUGAGGUACGAAAGCGUGGGGAGCGAACAGGAUUAGAUACCCUGGUAGUCCACGCCGUAAACGAUGAGUAUUUGGUGCUGGGGGAUUCGACCCUUUCAGUGCCGUAGCUAACGCG